rnacentral:rRNA from 1 species
UACGAAGGUGGCAAGCGUUGUUCGGAUUUACUGGGCGUACAGGGAGCGUAGGCGGUUGGAUAAGCCCUCCGUGAAAUCUCCAGGCUUAACCUGGAAAGUGCAGAGGGGACUGUACAGCUAGAGGAUGGGAGAGGAGCGCGGAAUUCCCGGUGUAGCGGUGAAAUGCGUAGAGAUCGGGAGGAAGGCCGGUGGCGAAGGCGGCGCUCUGGAACAUUUCUGACGCUGAGGCUCGAAAGCGUGGGGAGCAAACAGG